GCCGGGUGUGGUGGUGCACGCCUGUAAUCCCAGCUACUCAGGAGGCUGAGGCAGGAGAAUUGCUUGAACCCGGGUGGUGGAGGUUGCAGUGAGCCAAGAUGGCACCACUGCACUCCAGCCUGGGUGACAGAGUGAGACUCCGUCUCAA
rnacentral:SRP_RNA from 2 species